CACGUGAGUAACCUGCCCUUAACUUCGGGAUAAGCCUGGGAAACCGGGUCUAAUACCGGAUACGACGGACCACCGCAUGGCGGUCCGUGGAAAGCUUGAUGCGGUUUUGGAUGGACUCGCGGCCUAUCAGCUAGUUGGUUGGGGUAAUGGCCCACCAAGGCGACGACGGGUAGCCGGCCUGAGAGGGUGACCGGCCACACUGGGACUGAGACACGGCCCAGACUCCUACGGGAGGCAGCAGUGGGGAAUAUUGCACAAUGGGCGAAAGCCUGAUGCAGCGACGCCGCGUGAGGGACGAAGGCCUUCGGGUUGUAAACCUCUUUCAGCAGGGAAGAAGCGAAAGUGACGGUACCUGCAGAAGAAGCGCCGGCUAACUACGUGCCAGCAGCCGCGGUAAUACGUAGGGCGCAAGCGUUAUCCGGAAUUAUUGGGCGU
rnacentral:rRNA from 1 species